UACGGGGGGGGGCAAGCGUUGUUCGGAUUUACUGGGCGUAAAGGGCGCGUAGGCGGCGCAACAAGUCACUUGUGAAAUCUCCGGGCUUAACCCGGAGCGGUCAAGUGAUACUGUCGUGCUAGAGUGCGGAAGGGGCUACUGGAAUUCUCGGUGUAGCGGUGAAAUGCGUAGAUAUCGAGAGGGAACACCUGCGGCGAAGGCGGGUAGCUGGGCCGACACUGACGCUGAUGCGCGAAAGCCAGGGGAGCGAACGGG
rnacentral:rRNA from 1 species